GAGUUUGAUCCUGGCUCAGGAGAAACGCUGGCGGCGCACAUAAGACAUGCAAGUCGAACGGAACUUAGAAGAAUGUUUACAUGAGACGAAAGUUUAGUGGCGGACGGGUGAGUAACACGUGAGCAACCUGCCUUUAAGAGGGGGAUAACAUUGAGAAAUCAGUGCUAAUACCGCAUAAAGCAUAUCUACCGCAUGAUAAGAUAUGCCAAAGGAGUAAUCCGCUUAAAGAUGGGCUCGCGGCUGAUUAGUUAGUUGGUGGGGUAACGGCCUACCAAGACGAUGAUCAGUAGCCGAGCUGAGAGGCACAACGGCCACAUUGGGACUGAGACACGGCCCAGACUCCUACGGGAGGCAGCAGUCGGGAAUAUUGCACAAUGGAGGAAACUCUGAUGCAGUGACGCCGCGUAUAGGAAGAAGGUCUUUGGAUUGUAAACUAUUGUCGACAGGGAAGAAACGAAUGACAGUACCUGUGGAGGAAGCCCCGGCAAACUACGUGCCAGCAGCCGCGGUAAUACGUAGGGGGCGAGCGUUAUCCGGAUUUAUUGGGUGUAAAGGGUGCGUAGACGGUUAUGCAAGUUGGUUGUGAAAUCCCGAGGCUCAACUUCGGAACUGCAACCAAAACUGUGUAACUCGAGUGCGGGAGAGGAAAGCGGAAUUCCUAGUGUAGCGGUGAAAUGCGUAGA
rnacentral:rRNA from 1 species